CAAAAUCUUCAGGGCAGGGUGAAAUUCCCGACCGGCGGUGAGGACGCACGUACGUCUAAAGCCCGCGACUCGCUGAUCGUCACGGUCGGCGACUGAUCUGGUGCAAAUCCAGGGCCGACGGUAAAGUCCGGAUGGAAGAAGAUCUGA
rnacentral:ncRNA from 1 species